UACGUAGGGUGCGAGCGUUUGUCCGGAAUUAUUGGGCGUAAAGGGCUCGUAGGCGGUUUGUCGCGUUCGGGAGUGAAAACUCAGGGCUUAACCCUGAGCCUGCUUCCGAUACGGGCAGACUAGAGGUAUGCAGGGGAGAACGGAAUUCCUGGUGUAGCGGUGAAAUGCGCAGAUAUCAGGAGGAACACCGGUGGCGAAGGCGGGUCUCUGGGCCGUAACUGACGCUGAGGAGCGAAAGCGUGGGGAGCGAACAGG
rnacentral:rRNA from 1 species